rnacentral:rRNA from 1 species
UUGCUGCUUCGCUGACGAGUGGCGGACGGGUGAGUAAUGUCUGGGAAACUGCCUGAUGGAGGGGGAUAACUACUGGAAACGGUAGCUAAUACCGCAUAACGUCGCAAGACCAAAGAGGGGGACCUUCGGGCCUCUUGCCAUCGGAUGUGCCCAGAUGGGAUUAGCUAGUAGGUGGGGUAACGGCUCACCUAGGCGACGAUCCCUAGCUGGUCUGAGAGGAUGACCAGCCACACUGGAACUGAGACACGGUCCAGACUCCUACGGGAGGCAGCAGUGGGGAAUAUUGCACAAUGGGCGCAAGCCUGAUGCAGCCAUGCCGCGUGUAUGAAGAAGGCCUUCGGGUUGUAAAGUACUUUCAGCGGGGAGGAAGGCGAUAAGGUUAAUAACCUUGUCGAUUGACGUUACCCGCAGAAGAAGCACCGGCUAACUCCGUGCCAGCAGCCGCGGUAAUACGGAGGGUGCAAGCGUUAAUCGGAAUUACUGGGCGUAAAGCGCACGCAGGCGGUCUGUCAAGUCGGAUGUGAAAUCCCCGGGCUCAACCUGGGAACUGCAUUCGAAACUGGCAGGCUAGAGUCUUGUAGAGGGGGGUAGAAUUCCAGGUGUAGCGGUGAAAUGCGUAGAGAUCUGGAGGAAUACCGGUGGCGAAGGCGGCCCCCUGGACAAAGACUGACGCUCAGGUGCGAAAGCGUGUGGAGCAAACAGGAUUAGAUACCCUGGUAGUCCACGCCGUAAACGAUGUCGACUUGGAGGUUGUGCCCUUGAGGCGUGGCUUCCGGAGCUAACGCGUUAAGUCGACCGCC